AAAUCAAAGCAUUAUUAUUUCAAGCAUUGCAGAAGCUGCUUCCAUGUCCUUAAGGUGACAAAGCAUAUGAGGACUUUGCAAGUACUUGGAGUAAAGGAAGAGAAGAGAAUUCACAGAGUGAAAAGAGGAGAAAGAGUGCUCUAAAAUAUCACCAAUGGACUGCAACAUUGAAGUUAGAGACAAGGUCAUCAGCCAAGACUGGGGAGAAAGGGAGAUGAAAAAGCCUGGAGAAAGUUUAACUCAUCUAAGAGGCUGUUAAGUGAAUCAACAAAAGAUGCCAUUUUCUAUUAAGUCAUCUAUUUUAUUAAAGAGUUAAAUGCAACUGUUGCUGUAUAUCAUGAAUUUAUGAAAGAUUUAGGAGUGGGAGUUCUUUUUUUCUCAAAAAAAAUGAGACAGGUUACCAUCUUUUUAUAUAGGAGUGGUACAAACCUCUUAUUUGAAAUACCCAUCCUAGGGUAAAUAUUCAUUGAUACAAAUAAUUGGUAACCUUUGUUUUGGCUUUUGGACUGUGUCUCUCAAAGGAAAAAAAAAAUCUUGCUGUUUUCAAAAGUUAAAUAGAACAUCAACCAGGGACCAUGGCCAUCCAGAAGACUGAGUUCCAUAAAAAUGGACUCCCCACUCCCACUGGAAUCCUCUGUUUUUGUGUAUCUAAAUAAAUAGACGCCUUGCUCAUUCCUGGUAUUAGGUGUGAUUGAGAGAUAACUCACUUAGCGGCAGCAGCAGCAGCAGUUUCUGUGCAUGCUAUAGCCCAUGCUCUUGUGAGCAUCAAAAGGAGAUGAAGCCUGAUUAACCAUUUUGAAAUCUAUCGGAUGAGAAGUCCUUACAAAACAACUUUUAUACGCUUUAAUUAAAAACGUGUUCCGGCAGCUCAGAGCUGAAUGGGCUUCAGGGGGAGCAGGGCUGAGCCCGUUGCUAUGACGACACCAAAUCUUUUCACGCCUGGCCCUUCCUCAGCACACUCUGUCUAGCUCUCUCCAGCUAUUAAUUUGCCUCUGUCCCAGCUCUCACUCCCUCAGUCCCCUGGGCUGUGAGUCUAUACAUGACCUAAUACCUUUUGCUGCUUCUAUGGUACUUCCGUUUCUCUCAUCUUUUCGUCACUUAUAUUUCCUUGGGAAUCUCUGUUUUCUGUUCCUCUUGAAAACAAGUUACCCGCUUGAGUUAAAAACACUUAAAAAUGUUAUUUCAAAGCAUGGUAAUCAUUGUUUAUUAUCCCUAAUGAUAAAUUCAAUUGUAAGGGUCUGCAUAUAGUUGAGAAGAAUCUUACUAUGUUCUACAUUUUUUUAUAUUUCAGGUUGAACGUUGGCUACUACACUACUCUUUCUGUUGCUGAGGGUAAGAUGAAAAUAGGAAGGAGUCUGUUAUACUCUGGGAAAGUUAAUUUGUGCUUAGUGUUAAAAUCUCAGGUUAUUCCACAAACAGCAUCACCUGGUAACAACUGUAAGUGAACAUAAGACUUUAAAAUAUGUGUUUACUACAAAUCCUGAAAAAAAAAGCAGACCUUACUUUAUUUAAGAAGGCUCUUUGGAUAUUUUAAGGUAGUAAUCAUUGUACAGGGAAUUAAAUAAAACUCAACACUGUCACUUGCUAUAUCAUAUGAAUCAUCAAGAAUUGGAUAGAACUUUCCCCUCUCAAUACCCCGUAGCAAACUGGAAGAAAGCUGAUAUCUGUGCAAUCUUGUAUUCAAUGGAUGUAUAUAAAUUAUACUAUUAU
rnacentral:lncRNA from 1 species